rnacentral:rRNA from 1 species
UACGUAGGGUGCAAGCGUUGUCCGGAUUCAUUGGGCGUAAAGCGCGCGUAGGCGGCUUCGUAAGUCGGCCGUGAAAUCUCCAGGCUUAACUUGGAGGGGUCGGGCGAGACUGCGGAGCUCGGGGUGGGCAGAGGGCAGUGGAAUUCCGGGUGUAGUGGUGGAAUGCGUAGAGAUCCGGAGGAACACCAGUGGCGAAGGCGGGCUGCCUGGGCCCUGGGCCUGACGCUGAGGCGCGAAAGCGUGGGGAGCGAUCGGAUUGAGAA